rnacentral:rRNA from 1 species
UACGGGGGGGGGCAAGCGUUGUUCGGAAUUACUGGGCGUAAAGGGCUCGUAGGCGGCCAACUAAGUCAGACGUGAAAUCCCUCGGCUUAACCGGGGGAACUGCGUCUGAUACUGGAAGGCUUGAAUCCGGGAGAGGGAUGCGGAAUUCCAGGUGUAGCGGUGAAAUGCGUAGAUAUCUGGAGGAACACCGGUGGCGAAGGCGGCAUCCUGGACCGGCAUUGACGCUGAGGCGCGAAAAGCCAGGGGGAGCAAAACGGGG